rnacentral:piRNA from 1 species
GUAUUGACUAUCAUUAAGAGGCCA